rnacentral:rRNA from 1 species
GACGAACGCUGGCGGCGUGCUUAACACAUGCAAGUCGAACGGAAAGGCCCUGCUUUUGUGGGGUUCUCGAGUGGCGAACGGGUGAGUAACACGUGAGUAACCUGCCCUUGUCUUUGGGAUAACUUCAGGAAACUGGGGCUAAUACCCGAUAGGAGCUCCUGCUGCAUGGUGGGGGUUGGAAAGUUUCGGCGGUUGGGGAUGGACUCGCGGCUUAUCAGCUUGUUGGUGGGGUAGUGGCUUACCAAGGCUUUGACGGGUAGCCGGCCUGAGAGGGUGACCGGCCACAUGGGGACUGAGAUACGGCGCAGACGCCUACGGGAGGCAGCAGUGGAGAAUAUGGCACAGUGGGCGGAAGCCUGAUGCAGCAACGCCGCGUGCGGAAUGACGGCCUUCGGGUUGUAAACCGCUUUCGCCUGUGACGAAGCGUGAGUGACGGUAAUGGGUAAAGAAGCACCGGCUAACUACGUG